rnacentral:lncRNA from 1 species
AGUCUUUAUUGGGGUGACACAACAGCCACAGCUCCGGGUGUUGGUGGGGAUGGUGACAGCUCCAGGUGUUGUUGGGGACAAUCACAGCUCCGGGUGUUGGCGGGGACGGUGACGGUGACAGCGCCGGGCGUUGGGGACAAUCACGGCUCCGGGUGUUGGUGGGGACGGUGACGGUGACAGCGUUGGGUGUUGGGGACGGUGAUGGUGACAGCACCGGGUGUUGGGGACAAUCACGGCUCCAGGUGUUGGUGGGGACAGUGACAGCUCCGGGUGUUGGUGGGGACGGUGACGGUGACAGCGUUGUGUCUUGGGGACAAUCACAGCUCCAGGUGUUGGUGGGGACGGUGACAGUGACAGCGCCGGGUGUUGGGGACGGUGACAACAGUGGGGACAACUCCAGGUGUUGGGGACAAAUCCGGAUGUUGGUGACGGUGACGACACUGGGGACGGCUCCGGGUGUUGGCAAGAGCUCUGGGUGUUGGGGACGGCUCCGAGUGUUGGUGACGGUGACAGCGCUGGGGACGGCUCCGGGUGUUGGGGACGGUGACAACACUGGGGAC